AACCUCGCUUGCCAACCAAAAAAAAAAAAAAAAAACCUUAAGUUAUCCUAAAAAUCAAGGGUUACAGCACCUCAAAUUUUGUAGAGUGUACCGAAAACCAUAAGACCUUUUAUUAACGACACAACAUGAUUAGUUCCAUAUCAACAUGAUUAGUUCUAUAUUUCUAUAAAAAAAAAUUGGGAAGUUCUUAUGGUUGGUUCCGUUGCUGAAAUUGGGAAGGCCUAUGGUGUAAUAUUUUGAUAAUUAUAUAACAUGAUCAGAUUUGUUUAUGUACAAAGGAAUUGGGAAAAUAAGGUAAUGUCAUUCAACACAACUGGUUCAGUUGUCCGAAGAUUGAUAACGGAAAAAUCAUUUUGGAAGAAAAGAGAAAACUGGAGUCACCUAUGCAUAGCUGCAUUCAACGCAACUGGCUCUGUUCUCUCUACACACCUUUCCAUAGCUUCAACUUCAUGAAGAUAAACUUCCUCUGAAGACUACCCCUUAUUAACUGAAACAAAAUGCAAAGAAUGCAAAAAGUAAGACUAAAAAAACAAAAGACUCGUCACUGUGCAACUAAAAGAAAUAGUUGUUAAUGGAUAAUAUGAGCAACUAAAAGAAACAAUUCUGUGCUAGUAUUUAUAUUUAUAAUGAAGAAUUUCUUCAAACAUUUGAAUGUUUAGUGUUGUUGAGUGACUACAAUAUAAAUUUAGUAAUAACUAUCCAAGACUACCAAAAUUCAUUUAGUCUCACACAGAAUAGUGUAUUUUAUAUUAGACUUCCAUAAUCAAUUGUAUAGGGACAAUACCUAACAACUUACAACUAAAGCCUUAAGCGACAUGACUACUAUGACCUAUCAUAAUUUGGGCAUCAAUGGUGGAAAAUACUUGAUUAUAAGCUUAAACCAAUCUGACAACUGAAUAUUACUUCCUUACACCUUGGUAAAACUUAUAUCCAAUAGAGCUAAACAGUCUGCAGUCAUAAAUAAAAAUUAUGAGGAUGGCAUAUUCUUGUCCAAAUAAUGAUGAAAAUGAUAAAACUAACUUAAUUCACUGUAUUGAUUGGUAGCUAAUUACAAAAUAGUCCAGAUAAAUUUCAGAAUGCGUACAGGAAGACAUGAAUGUUUAAUAGUAACAUUAAGAGAACUCUUUAACUGACAUGAAUGAAUACUUAUUUCUAUGCAAAGUAAGAUUGUUAUAUUUCCAUCUAUCAAGAUAUCAGACAUGCAACAUAGAUAUCUCAAGUGUGGUUUGGCUGAGUGAAACAUAAUUUUUUGAUUGGUCAGGCUACAUAGUUCAACAUUUUUAACUGAGGAGUAUUUGCUUGCUGACAUGAGGGUACAUUUUGUUCACCUUAUUCUGAAAAGAGAGAGAGAGUAGGAAAAGUUUGAAGGUUAAACAAAAAAAAUCAUUAAGAGUAGAGAGAAAGAGAUGGGUUUAAUGUAAGCUACCCCAUUGAAACUUCAAGGAGUCCUAAAUGACUCAUAUCCACGAUAUCCCACUGAUGUAGCCUAAAUCCUAAUCCCAUUGACCAAUGUGUUUGAACUGGUGUAAGUUAGAGGUAAUGGGAUACCUUUAAUGACAUUAACUAUGUCAGUACUUGGGACUCGUUGAUUUAUGUAUAUCCCACUGAUUAUUACAAAUACUCUGUAAAAUUUUCUCAUCCCUAUUGAUAUGAAGCCCCUGUAAAGUAGGAUCAUCAAUAAGUGAUUUUGUUGGUACCAAUGGAUCUGUCCAAAAUGAAAUUUGAUUCCCACUCCCGAUUUUCCAAUGCAUACCUCCCUUCAAAGCCUCUAUUCCUGUUAUAAUUAUUUUUCAGCCCCAUGAUUGUCCUUGUUUGAAUUCAGCUUGAAGUAUAUCUUCAUUUUUAUGGUAUUCUUUUCCAGCCACAUGAUUAUUCUUGCUAAUAAAAGAUUUGGGUUUGAGUGAAGUCUCCAAGCUAGCUUCCCCAUAAAUGCUAAGUUUAUAAGUCUCUAGCCUUUUAAACCCAUACCCCCAUAAAUCUUUGCUGCUGUAACUGAAUUCAAGUUACAGUGAUGCAUCCUACAUAAGUAGUGCAUCUUACAGUAAUGCCUCUUUUCCAAACUUUCAUAUAGAAGUAGUGCAUUUACAAAAGACCCAAAAGAAAAAAAUAAAAGAGACUUCCACCAAUGGUGUUUUUUGGAAAAAAAAAUUCUGUAAAACAUAAGAUUCCACAUAACCAAAAUGUUAAGGAUUCAAUUGGAAAAAUUAUUCCCUUUCAUAAAAUCUUGAUGAAUUAUACUAAAAGAGUAAAGUAAAUUGUGAUGAAUAGAGGAAUAGUUUAAAAUCUAAAAAUUGCUUAAAAAGAAAAGUCUAAGCACAAUUCCAGCCACAACAGGGAAACAUAUGCAAGAAUUAAUUCAUUUUGGUGGAGUUGAUUAAAACAGAGUUGGUUGAAAUGAUUUGAUAGAAAGUUGAUCACUAAGCACAGUAAAGACAGGAAAUGAGAUGAAGACCAUAGAAAGUUACCUAAGAAAGUUUUGAGAGAAGCUAUAAUUGUUGAAAAAAAAAGUGAACCUGCAAGAGAAGAGCAGAUUUGAUGAAAAGUGUGAGUGUACUUCAUUCCUUCAAUGUCGACACUACUUAUGCUUCAGUAAAAGUGCUUCAAUAUAUGUGAGUCUAACCAAGAUUAUUAACAUCAACUGUGACACUAUUUCAAUUUAAAUUAUCAAGAAAUGACACUAUUUUGCAUAAUUUAAAUUUUGUAAAGCUUUUUCUUAACUAAUUUUUGAUACUGGAUCAUAUACCUGUAAGUCUAGCAAUAGAAUAAGCAAAAGUUACGUUCCUGUCCACCUCAACAGUUGGUUUUGGAGUUGCUACUCCAACUGAUAUAGUUUGAAUCACAUUUAAAUCUGCAGAAUUGGAAUCAAGAGUGGGAUUAGAGGGUCUACUACCAGCAAAAAAAGAAGCUUUGGAUUUAAAUUUAAUUGAGCAUUAGCACACCUGAAUGAAUAU
rnacentral:lncRNA from 1 species